rnacentral:rRNA from 1 species
AUGCUCCGCACCCAGGCAGGCGCUCCAGCAGCGGUGCAGUUGUCGUCAUCGGUGUCGAUGAGGGGCGUAGGCACAGAGAUGAUGCCAAUCGACAGUCAGGAGCAGUCGAGGAGCGCCACUCUGGCCAGAGCCUCCACGCCAUCCCUUAGCCAGCUCUACUCUAAAUUCGGAACUCUUAACAAAAUUGUGAAACAAAUCUCAGCUGGCUGUAAUUGUGCAAAUAUAUUUCAGGUGCAGGCCGAUCAAAUGAGGGCACGGGCGAAGAACAACAUGACCAAGAGACUGUCCCCAUUGGGCCACAAGGUGGAGGGGAAGCAGGCGAGGGUCGAGGCGAGGCAGAACUGGCGGGCACUCCGGUUGGCGCGACAGGUGAAGCGCAUCCGGAAGACCGACCGCAUGCCGUCCCGGUUCCGGUGCUACAACUGGUUCCUGUGCUAA